rnacentral:rRNA from 1 species
CCCCUAGAUGUUCUGGGCCGCACGCGCGCUACACUGAACAGUUCAACAAGUCUUAACCUUGGCCGAUAGGUCUGGGUAAUCUUUGAACGCUGUUCGUGAUUGGGAUAGACCUUUGCAAUUAUGGGUCUUCAACGAGGAAUUCCUAGUAAACGCAAAUCAUCAGCUUGCAUUGAUUACGUCCCUGCCCUUUGUACACACCGCCCGUCGCACCUACCGAUUGAAUGGUCCGGUGAAAUCUCGGGACGGCGGCUUGGUCGCUUGCGUCCGACUGCUGAAACUUGAUUAAACCAUAUCAUUUAGAGGAAGGUGAANUCGUANCA